rnacentral:rRNA from 1 species
CCUACGGGUGGCUGCAGUGGGGAAUAUUGGACAAUGGGCGCAAGCCUGAUCCAGCAAUGCCGCGUGUGUGAAGAAGGCCUGCGGGUUGUAAAGCACUUUAAGCCGGAAAGAAGGCUGUCUGGAUAAUACCCAGGCAGAUUGGCGUUACCGGCAGAAUAAGCACCGGCUAACUCCGUGCCAGCAGCCGCGGUAAUACGGAGGGUGCGAGUGUUAAUCGGAAUUACUGGGCGUAAAGCGCGCGUAGGCGGUUAAAGCCCUGGGCUUAACCUGGGAACUGCAGUGGAAACUGGCGGGCUAGAGUAUGGUAGAGGAGAGUGGAAUUUCCGGUGUAGCAGUGAAAUGCGUAGAGAUCGGAAGGAACACCAGUGGCGAAGGCGGCUCUCUGGACCAAUACUGACGCUGAGGUGCGAAAGCGUGGGGAGCAAACAGGAUUAGAUACCCCUGUAGUC